rnacentral:lncRNA from 1 species
CAUCUGUGAUUGCAACGUGACUAUCUACCAAUACUUUUUAUUUACCUCUGCCCAAAUGUGCAGCUGUUUCCCGGGUGGGAGAGUAAGCGAACAGUAAAAAUCAGACAAAAUAACAUUGCUGCGUAGGCUUUUAUGAAAACAGAACGAGUAAGUAUAUCUAUAAAGACUGGCCUAGCACCUGUACAAACCAAGUAUUUGGUAGCUUAGCCAGGGCUGCCACUAACUUCCAUGAUAGAGUAGCCCGAGGCAACUUACAUGGUGUGCUGAGCAGAGGCGAGUUGGACAUUCAGACAUUCUUUGGUCCUUCUGGAGAAAAUAAAUGAAUACUACUUUCUGGCUCCCUAUGGAAGGAGUCCUGUUUCUCUCCCCAAAAUGGACUCCUAGGUUUACCAACCCCAUACUUCAGAAAGUUACACCUUUUGAACAGAACAAUGGCUCUGUCUGCAUUUCCACUGCCAGCAUUAAUUGACCCAGAGAAUAAGUAGGCUUGUGGAUUUGAAAUUAUUUGGGGGAAGGAUUUUCUGAGUUUUGUGGAGUAACCUUUGAUAUUUCCAUAGUAUAAUGCAAUUUUGUUUUAAGCUGCUUUCCUUACCUUGGUAGCUAGUCUCCAAAGGUGGCCCUGCAAUGAGCCAUGCCUCUUGGUAUUUACACUUUUGUGUAGACUCUUCCCUCCUUGAAUCUAGGCAGGCUUUAUGUAACUGAUAGAAUAUGGUAGAAGUGACAUUUGUGAUUUCUGAGAUUAGGUCAUAAUGAGCCGAGUAGCCUCUGCCUCAGGUUCUUUGAAAGCUUGCUCUGGGGAAAGCUAGCUGCUACAGAAGAAGUUCAACUACUGUAAGACCACCAUGCUGUGAUGAAGGCCAAGCUAUCCAUGUUGAGAGGCUACAUGAAAAAAAGAGACCCCAGCCACCCCCCAGCAAUUCCAGCCAUCUAGGUGAAGUGUUGAUAUGUAGAGAAGCAGCCAUCUUGUUCAUCCAGACAAGUUGAGCCUUCAGGUUGAGCCAUCAUCUGACUGCAACUGUGUAAAACCCAAGCAAAAAGUGCCCAGCUGAGCCCAGUCAACCUGCAGCUAUAAGAGAUUAUAGUAAAUUAUUAUUUUAAGCCACUUUGUUUUAGGGUUAUUAGGAAGCACCGAUAGAUACACUCGUGAUUCUCGAAAGCUCCUGGUGCAGUUACAACACACACAAAUCCAAGCCACAGAUGAGGGUUGUAAGCUGCUUCUUUACAUUAAAUUAGAUUUUAUGACAGAUAUACAAAUCAGGAUUAAUUGAAAUCUAUAUGCAAAAGUUUGUAAUUCUUUCCAUUUUUUUUAAACAGCAGGAGAAAUAUUCUAACACCAUCUAACAUUGUAUUACAUAUUUGUCUAUUUGUUGCCUGCCUUCCCUUUUUAAAUAUAUGCUCCAAGAUGGCAGUGAUUUCAUCUGUUUUAUUAUUCUUUCUAUCCUCAAUGCUGGCUACAGUGCUUGAUUUACAGUAGGUCUAUAGUAAAUAUUUGUUGAAUUAAUAAACACUUAAGAGAGAUAAAUGUAUUACAGGUGAAGUUAAUAUGUUAUAAACAUACAUUUUUUUUUACUGCCUUUCACACACUUUCUAAAAUCUUUAAAAGUGUAAUAGUUUUAUAAUCAGGAAAAAUGUUAUUUAAUAAAAUUAAGUUAGAACAUUGAUAUACCUAUUUUUUCCUAUAUAUCCCAUCCAAGACCACAAAAUUGAAGUCUUUCCAUUCCUUCUCAACAAAUUCAGUAUGUCUCAUGUGGAUUUGUUCUAGUCACAGCUUUUCCAACCUCCAGUAGAGUCAUAGUAUAGCACUUCUGCCCACACAAAGAACAAAAUAAAAAUAGAAGUAAUUCAUUUAUAGCUGAAGCAAAUUCCUAGAAGAGUUUCUGGUGAUCAGAUCACUGAAGGGUAGUUUGCAGAGUCAUGGACACUGAUAAGAUGAAGCAUUCCUUGGUUGUAAUCUGAGUUUCCCAAAGAAGGCAGCAAAUACUCUGUUUAUAUUGAUGUAGACGCAAACUUUCUAGCCCACUGUGAAAGUUGUAAAUGAUAGCAAGUUCUUGUUGGCUUAUACCUCCGAGAUCCACAUGAAAAUGCUUUGAAACUCAUUAGAAGAUGAAAGGGAAAAUGUUUGCCUCUUUCCCAGACAGAGACAGAGAAACUCCAUUGCAGAGGUAGCACCCAGGGGGAAGGAGCAGGGCCCUCCACUUCCACAUUCUGAAUGUUUUCUUAGCAAAAUGGUGACAACACCACCUGUUGUACCUAUCCUUCUGUGAUUUACUGUGAUAAAGAAAUGUAACUAAGUUUAUGUAAAAAUGCAUUUUCCUACAUGAUAAGUGGUACUCAAAACCAAAUAUGCUCAUGGUAAAGAAUAGUAAGAAUUCCAGUUCCAUCUAUAGAUGGCAUUACCUCUUUGGGUCACUCUUGUUGGUUCUCCAAAUGCUCCAUCUUGGGGAAGUAAGCCUUAUUUAAUGCUGAAAGUACUUCUAAGAACCUAGAUUAGCCUCACUGAUGACCGCACACAGAAUUUAUGUACCAUAAAGUCUCCCUCAAACUUGACUUUCCUUCUAGAUUUCCUAUCUGCGUUUAUGGCUAGAAGCAAUGGAAUCCUCCUUAUUUCCUCUUUCUGCAUAUCCUUCACCUGGAAAUUCUUUUCAACUAACCCUCAAAAAAAGUCCUCAGUCUCUAAUUUCUCUCCUUUUCCAGUGUUUAGCCCAGGAUUCAGGAUCUUUACCAUGACUAAUGCACCAAUCAGCCUCCUAAUUCCAUGUCUAACAGAUGCUUUCUGUACAUCUUUCCCACCAGAUUAGGAAGUGGCCUUUAAAAAUGAAGAACAAGUUCUAUAGGCCUUUAGACUUCCCAGAAAGCAUUUCUUGUGAUAGGUGCUUAAUAAACGAUUCUUCAUUGAUAAAUGAUUCUUGCUCACUGGUUUGCUUGCUUGACUGAGAAGUAAUACUUGGCAUGGAAAAAGCACUGGGCCUGUGAAACAGAAGAUGUGGGUUAUGGCCUUUUGUAUCAGUUAUGUAUGGCUGUGUAACAAAUCAUUGCAAAUCUUGAUGGCUUAAGAUAAUGCUCAUUUAUUUUUUCACCCGUUUUCUAUGGAUCAGGAAUUUGAACAGUAGUGUGGGUACUUGUCUUUCCUCUGUAACGUCUGGGCCUCAGGAAGAUUUGAAGUUGGGGGUAAUGCAGCAGCUAGGGACUGGAAUCAUCUGGAAAUCUCUUCAUUCACAUGGGUGGUGGUUGAGCCUGGCAGUCCCCUGCUGGCUACCAGCCAGCACACCUACACAACAUGGCCUCCCAAUGUAGCCUCUGCUUGGGCCUAUUUGGGCCACCUCGCAGCAUGGCGGUGGCAACUGGGUUCUAAAAACAAGUGAUCCAAGACAACCAGUUGGAACAUUGUUACUUUCAUGGCC